AGGACGAACGCUGGCGGCACGCUUAACACAUGCAAGUCGAACGUGAAACUCGGAGCUUGCUCCGGGUGGAAAGUGGCGAACGGGUGAGUAACACGUGAGGAACCUGCCCCGAAGACUGGGAUAACACCGGGAAACCGGUGCUAAUACUGGAUGCCCUCUCUGGAUCGCAUGAUCCGGCGAGGAAAUGGAUUCCGCUUCGGGAUGGCCUCGCGGCCUAUCAGCUUGUUGGUGGGGUAACGCCUACCAAGGCAACGACGGGUAGCUGGUCUGAGAGGAUGUCCAGCCACACUGGGACUGAGACACGGCCCAGACUCCUACGGGAGGCAGCAGUGGGGAAUCUUGCGCAAAUGGGACGAAAGCCUGGACGCAGCGAUGCCGCGUGCGGGAUGGAAGGCCGUUGGGUCGUAAACCGCUUUCAGCGAGGACGAAAUUGACGUACCUGACAGAAGAACGCCCCGACCAACUACGUGCCAGCACGGCCGC
rnacentral:rRNA from 1 species